rnacentral:rRNA from 1 species
UACAGAGGUCUCAAGCGUUGUUCGGAUUCAUUGGGCGUAAAGGGUGCGUAGGCGGCGCGGUAAGUCGGGUGUGAAAUCUCGGAGCUUAACUCCGAAACUUCAUUCGAUACUGCCGUGCUUGAGGACUGGAGAGGAGACUGGAAUUUACGGUGUAGCGGUGAAAUGCGUAGAUAUCGUAAGGAAGACCAGUGGCGAAGGCGGGUCUCUGGACAGUUCCUGACGCUGAGGCACGAAGGUCAGGGGAGCAAACGGG